AAUUCUCAACUAUUUUAUGUGCCCUUUUGUUGAAAUAUUCUGCGUUGGUCCAUUUUUUGGAAAUCGACCCGCGAAGACGAGGUAUAUCGUUUUAUCUGACAGCGUGAGGUUUAAGAAGUUCAUUUCUAAUUUUGUCUUGUGACAUAUUAGAAAUGAUGUUUCUUCGAAAAUCGUUCGCUUACAACUAAUAAAACGACUUCUGAGUGGU